rnacentral:rRNA from 1 species
UACAGAGGGUGCUAGCGUUGUUCGGAAUCAUUGGGCGUAAAGGGCGUGUAGGCGGUUUGUUAAGUCAUGUGUGAAAUCCCUCGGCUCAACCGGGGAACGACGCAUGAAACUGGCAAGCUAGAGUACCAAAGAGGGGGGUGGAAUUCCCGGUGUAGCGGUGAAAUGCGUAGAUAUCGGGAGGAAGACCAGUGGCGAAGGCGGGUCUCUGGACAGUUCCUGACACUGAGGCACGAAGGCCAGGGGAGCAAACGGG